rnacentral:lncRNA from 1 species
UUCCUUAUGGUAGAGUUGUUUCAAGAAUUUUGGAAUUCCAUGAUGUUCCGCUUCAAAGAGAACCAAAGACUCCUAUGACGGCUAGAAACUGUGAAAUCAAUGAGGUUACCGCAACUAAGAACACCGACAUUAUUAUCGAACCAAAUUGAGUGUCUCGGUACAAGGAUACGGUCGCUUCUUCCGCUCCUCCACCAAUUCCGGAAGGUGAUAUCACAAAUUCUAUGCUUUAUAACAAGAUGUGUUCCA